GAUGAACGCUGGCGGCGUGCCUAAUACAUGCAAGUCGAGCGAACGGACGAGAAGCUUGCUUCUCUGAUGUUAGCGGCGGACGGGUGAGUAACACGUGGAUAACCUACCUAUAAGACCGGGAUAACUUCGGGAAACCGUAGCUAAUACCGGAUAAUAUUUUGAACCGCAUGGUUCAAAAGUGAAAGACGGUCUUGCUGUCACUUAUAGAUGGAUCCGCGCUGCAUUAGCUAGUUGGUAAGGUAACGGCUUACCAAGGCAACGAUGCAUAGCCGACCUGAGAGGGUGAUCGGCCACACUGGAACUGAGACACGGUCCAGACUCCUACGGGAGGCAGCAGUAGGGAAUCUUCCGCAAUGGGCGAAAGCCUGACGGAGCAACGCCGCGUGAGUGAUGAAGGUCUUCGGAUCGUAAAACUCUGUUAUUAGGGAAGAACAUAUGUGUAAGUAACUGUGCACAUCUUGACGGUACCUAAUCAGAAAGCCACGGCUAACUAC
rnacentral:rRNA from 1 species